AUCAACUUCACUGCACACACUGGAGCUGAAUUUUCAAUCCAGAAGGCUGCAUCAUUGUCAAAGGCUCAAGAUUAUUUAGGAGGCUUUGCUACGGGACUGAGCCCUGGUUCCUGUGAUUGCAAAUGGAAGCUGUUCUUGACUUUAAGUAUUCGUAAAGCACUGGACAAAGGAGACAAAGAAAAUAUUAACACCCUUUUGACAGACAAGCAGACAGAAGAACAACCUCCUCAGAGUCCUCUGCUGAGGACAGCAGCACAAACUCAGUUUUACAAUCAGGCACUGCAGGAAACAAGGCCAUCUAUAUGCAGUAAAGGCAAGAGACAGCUAGCAACCAAGACAACGUUGAUAAUGUUUCAAGGUGCAGAUGGUAACAUAGAGAACAAUCAGCCUGGAAUUAACCUUAAGUAGACAUCUGACAUCCUGUGCAAUGUGCUCUAGGUGAUCCUGCUUGGCAUGGGGAUUGGACUAGAUAAUCUUCAGAGGUCCCUUCCAACCUUGGCCAUUCUGUGAUUUGGUAAAU
rnacentral:lncRNA from 1 species